rnacentral:rRNA from 1 species
UACGAAGGGGGCUAGCGUUGUUCGGAAUCACUGGGCGUAAAGGGCGCGUAGGCGGCCAUAUAAGUCGGGGGUGAAAGCCUGUGGCUCAACCACAGAAUUGCCUUCGAUACUGUAUGGCUCGAGACCGGAAGAGGUAAGUGGAACUGCGAGUGUAGAGGUGAAAUUCGUAGAUAUUCGCAAGAACACCAGUGGCGAAGGCGGCUUACUGGUCCGGUUCUGACGCUGAGGCGCGAAAGCGUGGGGGGCAAACAGG